AUGAACGCUAGCGACAGGCUUAACACAUGCAAGUCGAGGGGCAGCACAGGUAGCAAUACCGGGUGGCGACCGGCGCACGGGUGAGUAACGCGUAUGCAACUUACCUAUCAGAGGGGGAUAACCCGGCGAAAGUCGGACUAAUACCGCAUGAAGCAGGGGCCCCGCAUGGGGAUAUUUGCUAAAGAUUCAUCGCUGAUAGAUAGGCAUGCGUUCCAUUAGGCAGUUGGCGGGGUAACGGCCCACCAAACCGACGAUGGAUAGGGGUUCUGAGAGGAAGGUCCCCCACAUUGGUACUGAGACACGGACCAAACUCCUACGGGAGGCAGCAGUGAGGAAUAUUGGUCAAUGGCCGAGAGGCUGAACCAGCCAAGUCGCGUGAGGGAUGAAGGUUCUAUGGAUCGUAAACCUCUUUUAUAAGGGAAUAAAGUGCGGGACGUGUCCCGUUUUGUAUGUACCUUAUGAAUAAGGAUCGGCUAACUCCGUGCCAGCAGCCGCGGUAAUACGGAGGAUCCGAGCGUUAUCCGGAUUUAUUGGGUUUAAAGGGUGCGUAGGCGGCCUUUUAAGUCAGCGGUGAAAGUCUGUGGCUCAACCAUAGAAUUGCCGUUGAAACUGGGGGGCUUGAGUAUGUUUGAGGCAGGCGGAAUGCGUGGUGUAGCGGUGAAAUGCAUAGAUAUCACGCAGAACCCCGAUUGCGAAGGCAGCCUGCCAAGCCAUGACUGACGCUGAUGCACGAAAGCGUGGGGAUCAAACAGGAUUAGAUACCCUGGUAGUCCACGCAGUAAACGAUGAUCACUAGCUGUUUGCGAUACACUGUAAGCGGCACAGCGAAAGCGUUAAGUGAUCCACCUGGGGAGUACGCCGGCAACGGUGAAACUCAAAGGAAUUGACGGGGGCCCGCACAAGCAGUGGAGUAUGUGGUUUAAUUCGAAGCAACGCGAAGAACCUUACCAGGGCUUGACAUAUACAGGAAUAUAUUAGAGAUAGUAUAGCUCUUCGGAGCCUGUAUACAGGUGGUGCAUGGUUGUCGUCAGCUCGUGUCGUGAGAUGUUGGGUUAAGUCCCGCAACGAGCGCAACCCCUAUCCCCAGUAGCCAGCGGUUCGGCCGGGCACUCUGAGGAGACUGCCAGGGAUAACCUGGAGGAAGGCGGGGAUGACGUCAAAUCAGCACGGCCCUUACAUCCGGGGCGACACACGUGUUACAAUGGCGUGGACAAAGGGAAGCCACCUGGCGACAGGGAGCGAAUCCCCAAACCACGUCUCAGUUCGGAUCGGAGUCUGCAACCCGACUCCGUGAAGCUGGAUUCGCUAGUAAUCGCGCAUCAGCCAUGGCGCGGUGAAUACGUUCCCGGGCCUUGUACACACCGCCCGUCAAGCCAUGGGAGCCGGGGGUACCUGAAGUCCGUAACCGAAAGGAUCGGCCUAGGGUAAAACUGGUGACUGGGGCU
rnacentral:rRNA from 1 species